AAACGGAUAAUGGACAUGGUGAG
rnacentral:piRNA from 1 species